AUUGAACGCUGGCGGCAGGCCUAACACAUGCAAGUCGAGCGCGAAAGUUCUUCGGAAUGAGUAAAGCGGCGGACGGGUGAGUAAUGCAUGGGAAUCUGCCUGGUAGUGGGGGACAACGUUUCGAAAGAGACGCUAAUACCGCAUACGCCCUACGGGGGAAAGGGGGGGAUCUUCGGACCUCUCGCUAUCAGAUGAGCCCAUGUCAGAUUAGCUUGUUGGUGAGGUAAAGGCUCACCAAGGCGACGAUCUGUAACUGGUCUGAGAGGAUGAUCAGUCACACUGGAACUGAGACACGGUCCAGACUCCUACGGGAGGCAGCAGUGGGGAAUAUUGGACAAUGGGCGAAAGCCUGAUCCAGCCAUGCCGCGUGUGUGAAGAAGGCCUUAGGGUUGUAAAGCACUUUCAGUGGGGAGAAAGGUUAUUCACCUAAUACGUGAGUAAAUUGAUGUUACCCACAGAAGAAGCACCGGCUAACUCCGUGCCAGCAGCCGCCGUAAUAC
rnacentral:rRNA from 1 species